CUCACCCUCAGCAGUGUGGGUGAGCACUGUCCAAUGUGAGGACCUGAAAAGGACAAAAAUGUAGAAGAAGAAUUUGCUUCUGUUUGAGCUGGGACAGCCAUCUUCUCCUCCCCUCGGGCCUUGGACUCAGACUAAUGACACCAUGGCUGUCUUGUUUCUUCAGCAUGCAGGCAACAGAUCAACAGAUCAUGGGACUGCUCAGCCUCCACAAUCACCUAGAACAUGGCGUGAUGUCUGGAGCUGUGGCAAUCCUCUUGUGACCAUGAGGGAAAGUCACAGAACUGCAGAAGUGCUGGCCCUGAUACCACUGGGCUGCUGAAGUAAUGCCAGCCACACCUACCUCCAGGAUUCCUGUUAUGGGAGAAAAAUAAAUCCCUAUUGGUUCAAAUCA